rnacentral:rRNA from 1 species
UGGGGAAUAUUGCACAAUGGGCGAAAGCCUGAUGCAGCCAUACCGCGUGGGUGAAGAAGGCCUUAGGGUUGUAAAGCCCUUUCAGUUGGGAAGAAAAGCUCGGGGAUAAUACCCUCGGUUCUUGACGGUACCUACAGAAGAAGCACCGGCUAACUCAGUGCCAGCAGCCGCGGUAAUACUGAGGGUGCAAGCGUUAAUCGGAAUUACUGGGCGUAAAGCGCGCGUAGGCGGUCUGGUCAGUCAGAUGUGAAAGCCCCGGGCUUAACCUGGGAACUGCAUUUGAAACUGCCAGACUAGAGUGUGGUAGAGGGAAGUGGAAUUCCGCGUGGAGCGGUGAAAUGCGUAGAGAUGCGGAGGAACACCAGUGGCGAAGGCGACUUCCUGGACCAACACUGACGCUCAGGUGCGAAAGCGUGGGGAGCAAACAGG